rnacentral:rRNA from 1 species
AGCGAACGCUGGCGGCAGGCUUAACACAUGCAAGUCGAGCGGGCACUUCGGUGUCAGCGGCAGACGGGUGAGUAACACGUGGGAACGUACCCUUUGGUUCGGAAUAACGCUGGGAAACUAGCGCUAAUACCGGAUACGCCCUUUUGGGGAAAGGCUUGCUGCCGAAGGAUCGGCCCGCGUCUGAUUAGCUAGUUGGUGGGGUAAUGGCCUACCAAGGCGACGAUCAGUAGCUGGUCUGAGAGGAUGAUCAGCACACUGGGACUGAGACACGGCCCAGACUCCUACGGGAGGCAGCAGUGGGGAAUAUUGGACAAUGGGCGCAAGCCUGAUCCAGCCAUGCCGCGUGAGUGAUGAAGGCCUUAGGGUUGUAAAGCUCUUUUGUCCGGGACGAUAAUGACGGUACCGGAAGAAUAAGCCCCGGCUAACUUCGUG